UAGCAUCAUUCGCGGAAGUUGUUUAGUCCCACAUCGCCAUUGCGGACGGAAUCCGCGUCCUAUAAAUCCGUAUCAUUCGCGGAUUGCCUCGCCGGGCCUAGUAGCGAAGGCCUGUAACUCCGGCUUCGGAGGGUAGAGUUGGCGGGAGGGGUUCGUGUGUGCGCUUUAAGUUGAGCCUAAGGUCAGGUAAUACGCACGUCCGUCCGCGCAUAAUAGCGCUUAAACAACCGCCAUAUCAAUGUGUUAUAAGGUACGGCGGUAUAAGACGACGCUGCCCUGAGCCCGGCAAGAGUGGGCAGCCCCUCGACGCGGGGUGGCCUUCAGCCGAGCCCCUAUAUUAUAGUGUUAGCUGGGCUUUCCCCCUCGUUUAGGGGGAGCCUUCGGUUCCUUAAUCGGCGCACUCUCGACCCCGCUCGCCAACUCUUUUGCUUCUCUUUUGAUCUAUAGAGAUUAUUCUGACGUUAGUAUUAUUCGAAGUUUAUUUAUUUAUCUCGGAAUCACGCAGAGUGCUGCUCUAGAUCACCUAGGAAUGUUCAUAGAGAAAGCAGGUUUCAGUUCAUCUGUAGAGUAAGUAAUGCACAUUCUGAACAAGAUUCUGGGCUUGUUAGCACAGAAGGCUCAGCUCUGUGUUCUUCAGUUGAAUUUCAUUGGCUAUGAAUAUUUUCCACUGAUGUCAGAAACUUGUACUCUCCAGCUUCGGAUAGAGAUCAUGUAAAUAAGAGAACUGUAAUAGUACUUGGUUGUUUUUGACUUUGUUUUUAAGUGGGGGUAUGUGCUGGUAGCUUUCAACUGAUCACUGACGAAUGUAGUGUUUUAUCUUUAUUGAUAUCCUGAAUGUAGUGUUUUUAUCUUUAUUGAUAUCCCAAUUCUUAGUCAGACCAUUCUUAAUUGAACAAAUGUUCAUAUGUUUAGAGUAGAUGCUUUAUGUUGGGCAACCUGAAAAAAUCAUCAGUGGUGUCAAGUGCUGUCUCUGUAUUUUACUGAAAAAUUACCCAGGCCUCUGUGUUGCUUCUGUGCUGGGGUAUCUUUAGGAGCACACUGGAGCUAGGAAGGCCAGAUUCAUCAAGCUGCGUGCAUACUAGAGGAGGCCUCGAACUGAGUUCUGACUUGCUAACUUUGAAGCCAUGUCUGCAGCUCACUGACGAAGACAUCAUCUGGGGCUCUCGGCACUUUGUUAGUUCAAAUGUAACAAUAUGGUUGUUCUCCCGGAUGUAACCUUGGUGAUGAUUAUAGUGAUACUGUGCUCUUUGUUA